AGUGAGCGCCUACGGGAAGCAGCAGUGAGGAAUAUUGGUCAAUGGUCGGGAGACUGAACCAGCCAAGCCGCGUGAGGGAUGAAGGUACUAAGUAUUGUAAACCUCUUUUGUCAGGGAACAAAGGCAUCCACGCGUGGGUGAGUGAGUGUACCUGAAGAAAAAGCAUCGGCUAACUCCGUGCC
rnacentral:rRNA from 1 species